rnacentral:lncRNA from 1 species
AUCACACGAUUGGCUUUAGGACACAGUUUCCAACAAUUCAAAGAUCAUGUAAGCAAGUACAUAUUUCUAUCUUAUACAUCCUAUUUAAACAUAUUUACUAAUUAGGUGUCAUCUUCUUAGGUAUGGGGAUUAUCACUCGGUGAUGUGAGCUAUGAAGUGCGUGCUCUUUCAAUGGGACCUAAUUAUAUCAUGCGAGUACAAACAGCAUGUCAUUAAUGACUAUAGGUUCAAUAUUCACAAUCGAGACA